AAGACCUUGCGCUUUUGGAGCGGCCGAUGCCUGAUUAGCUAGUUGGUGGGGUAAUGGCCUACCAAAGCUUCGAUCAGUAGUUGGUCUGAGAGGACGACCAGCCACACUGGGACUGAGACACGGCCCAGACUCCUACGGGAGGCAGCAGUGGGGAAUUUUGGACAAUGGGGGGAACCCUGAUCCAGCCAUGCCGCGUGAGUGAAGAAGGCCUUCGGGUUGUAAAGCUCUUUCAGUUGAGAAGAAAAAAUCACGACUAAUAAUUGUGAUUCAUGACGGUAUCAACAGAAGAAGCACCGGCUAACUACGUGCCAGCAGCCGCGGUAAUACGUAGGGUGCAAGCGUUAAUCGGAAUUACUGGGCGUAAAGGGUGCGCAGGCGGUUUUGUAAGUCAGAUGUGAAAUCCCCGGGCUCAACCUGGGAACU
rnacentral:rRNA from 1 species